CGAUACUGGGAAGCUAGAGUAUGGGAGAGGAUGGUAGAAUUCCAGGUGUAGCGGUGAAAUGCGUAGAGAUCUGGAGGAAUACCGAUGGCGAAGGCAGCCAUCUGGCCUAAUACUGACGCUGAGGUACGAAAGCAUGGGGAGCAAACAGGAUUAGAUACCCUGGUAGUCCAUGCCGUAAACGAUGUCUACUAGCCGUUGGGGCCUUUGAGGCUUUAGUGGCGCAGCUAACGCGAUGAGUAGACCGCCUGGGGAGUACGGUCGCAAGACUAAAACUCAAAUGAAUUGACGGGGGCCCGCACAAGCGGUGGAGCAUGUGGUUUAAUUCGAUGCAACGCGAAGAACCUUACCUGGCCUUGACAUACUAGAAACUUUCCAGAGAUGGAUUGGUGCCUUCGGGAAUCUAGAUACAGGUGCUGCAUGGCUGUCGUCAGCUCGUGUCGUGAGAUGUUGGGUUAAGUCCCGCAACGAGCGCAACCCUUUUCCUUACUUGCCAGCAUUUCGGAUGGGAACUUUAAGGAUACUGCCAGUGACAAACUGGAGGAAGGCGGGGACGACGUCAAGUCAUCAUGGCCCUUACGGCCAGGGCUACACACGUGCUACAAUGGUCGGUACAAAGGGUUGCUACACAGCGAUGUGAUGCUAAUCUCAAAAAGCCGAUCGUAGUCCGGAUUGGAGUCUGCAACUCGACUCCAUGAAGUCGGAAUCGCUAGUGAUCGCGGAUCAGAAUGCCGCGGUGAAUACGUUCCCGGGCCUUGCACUCACCGCCCGUC
rnacentral:rRNA from 1 species